UGGAGAGUUUGAUCCUGGCUCAGGACGAACGCUGGCGGCGUGCUUAACACAUGCAAGUCGAACGGAAAGGCCCUUCGGGGUACUCGAGUGGCGAACGGGUGAGUAACACGUGGGUGAUCUGCCCUGCACUUUGGGAUAAGCCUGGGAAACUGGGUCUAAUACCGAAUAGGACCACGCGCUUCAUGGUGUGUGGUGGAAAGCUUUUGCGGUGUGGGAUGGGCCCGCGGCCUAUCAGCUUGUUGGUGGGGUAAUGGCCUACCAAGGCGACGACGGGUAGCCGGCCUGAGAGGGUGACCGGCCACACUGGGACUGAGAUACGGCCCAGACUCCUACGGGAGGCAGCAGUGGGGAAUAUUGCACAAUGGGCGCAAGCCUGAUGCAGCGACGCCGCGUGAGGGAUGACGGCCUUCGGGUUGUAAACCUCUUUCACNAGGGACGAAGCGNAAGUGACGGUACCUGUGGAAGAAGCACCGGCCAACUACGUGCCAGCAGCCGCGGUA
rnacentral:rRNA from 1 species